AUGUCAGCCAGAUCAGGCUCCAUGCCCAACAUGGGGCUCGAACUCAUGACUCUGAGGUCAAGAGUUCUCUACCAACUGAGCCAGUCAGGCACCACCUGUCUUUGUUAUUCAAAUAUCAAAUCUAUGCAGUGUUUUUACUGUUUAAAUAUUAAACGUGUAUCAUGUUCAUUAUCUGUCUGUCUCCACCCACUAGAUUGUAACUAGAAUGUAGACUCCACACAAGCAGGGAUCUGGGAGAGUCUCUGGCACAUAGUGGGUGCUCAAUAAGUGUUAAAUGAUAUAAUAAUUAUAAAGUCCCCAUGGAUGGUGGGCUUACUCUGUGUGCCCAUGUUGUGCACACACUGGUUUCCCCUGAUGAGAUCCCCACGGUACAGAUGAGAAACAGGAUCAGAAGGUGAAGGGAAUAUUAGGAAACACAGAAAUUAGAUUUAGUGAUGGCUGCCCAGAGCUCAUGCUCUGUACCUCUCACCCUAUGGGAGGGUCAUGACCCACAGUGAGUAGGAUACAAAGGGGACUAUGUAGUCCCUUCUCAGGAGCAAGAAAAAAGGGUGGCAUUUCGAGCUUUGGGUGACCCAGUCCCUAAACUCCAUUGUUCCUUUCCCCCCACCCCACUCCAUGAAGGAGAAUGAGCCAUCCUGGGGAGCCUCUCUCAGGGACUCAGAAGGUGGGCACCAGCCAGGACUGUCCUUUUGAAGAGGGAUAGUGAGGCUCAGAAAUGGGGAGAACUUUGCCCCGGGUACACAACCAGGAAGUGAUGGGUCUAGGAUUGAACCCCAGGUAUGCUGACCUUGCAACAUGUUGUGUCUCUGGUAAAGUACAAUUCCUAAGUCCUUCCUCUUGGAAAUCUUGAUUCAAUGGGUCUUGAGUGGGUGCUGGAAACCUGUAUUUGUAACAAGUUCCUCAGGGAAAUCAUAUGAUCAAAGAGUCCUGGGUAAAGGGCCAGUCUGCCAUUCACCAUCCACAGAUCUUUUCCCAAAGGCUAAGCACCAACUACUCAACUGUGCUUCUGUUCUCAAAAAUGGUGGAUGGUAGGGUCCCAG
rnacentral:lncRNA from 1 species